rnacentral:rRNA from 1 species
CGCAGGCGGUCUGUCAAGUCGGAUGUGAAAUCCCCGGGCUCAACCUGGGAACUGCAUUCGAAACUGGCAGGCUUGAGUCUUGUAGAGGGGGGUAGAAUUCCAGGUGUAGCGGUGAAAUGCGUAGAGAUCUGGAGGAAUACCGGUGGCGAAGGCGGCCCCCUGGACAAAGACUGACGCUCAGGUGCGAAAGCGUGGGGAGCAAACAGGAUUAGAUACCCUGGUAGUCCACGCCGUAAACGAUGUCUACUUGGAGGUUGUGCCCUUGAGGCGUGGCUUCCGGAGCUAACGCGUUAAGUAGACCGCCUGGGGAGUACGGCCGCAAGGUUAAAACUCAA